GACGAACGCUGGCGGCGCGCCUAACACAUGCAAGUCGAACGAAGUAUAUUUUCGGAUAUGCUUAGUGGCGGACGGGUGAGUAACGCGUGAACAAUCUGCCCUAUACAGAGGAAUAGCCUCGGGAAACCGGGAUUAAAACCGCAUAACGCUUUAGUAUCGCAUGGUACAGAAGUCAAAUUGAUUUAGAGGUAUAGGAUGAGUUCGCGUCUGAUUAGCUAGUUGGUGAGGUAAUGGCUCACCAAGGCGACGAUCAGUAGCCGGCCUGAGAGGGUGAACGGCCCGACUGGAACUGGGACACGGUCCAGACUCCUACGGGAGGCAGCAGUGGGGAAUAUUGCAAAAUGGAGGAAACUCUGAUGCAGCGACGCCGCGUGAGUGAAGAAGGUCUUCGGAUCGUAAAACUCUGUCCUUGGUGAAGAAGGAAUGACGGUAGCCAAGGAGGAAGCCCCAGCUAACUACGUGCCAGCCGCCGCAGUAAGAC
rnacentral:rRNA from 1 species